GGAAGCCUACCUCAAGAUAAGAUUUCCCUAGGACUUUAUGUCCUCUAAAGAGCCGUUCGAGACUAGGACGUUGAUAGGUUGGAUGUGGAAGCAUAGUGAUAUGUGAAGCUGACCAAUACUAAUUGCUCGUGAGGCUUGACUAUACAACACCCAAGCAGUUG
rnacentral:rRNA from 1 species